rnacentral:misc_RNA from 1 species
GAACGCAUCUUGCGCUCCUUGGUAUUCUGAGGAGCAUGCCUGUUUGAGUGUCAUGAAAAUUAUCAACCAUGACUUGGGUUUAGGCCCUUGUUCUUGGCUUGGAUUUGGGUGCUUGCGGUCUUGUGCUGCUCACCUUAAAAGGAUUAGCUGGACAUGUCUAUUGACUUGGUUCUACUUGGCGUAAUAAGUAUUUCGCUGAGGACAUCCCUUCUGGGGUGGCCAAGACUCUGGCAAACGUCUGCUUUCUAACCUGACUGUCUUCGGACAUCACUUUUAUGAUCUGGCCUCAAAUCAGGUAGGACUACCCGCUGAACUUAAG